AACGCUAGCUACAGGCUUAACACAUGCAAGUCGAGGGGCAGCAUGGUCUUAGCUUGCUAAGGCCGAUGGCGACCGGCGCACGGGUGAGUAACACGUAUCCAACCUGCCGUCUACUCUUGGACAGCCUUCUGAAAGGAAGAUUAAUACAAGAUGGCAUCAUGAGUCCGCAUGUUCACAUGAUUAAAGGUAUUCCGGUAGACGAUGGGGAUGCGUUCCAUUAGAUAGUAGGCGAGGUAACGGCCCACCUAGUCUUCGAUGGAUAGGGGUUCUGAGAGGAAGGUCCCCCACAUUGGAACUGAGACACGGUCCAAACUCCUACGGGAGGCAGCAGUGAGGAAUAUUGGUCAAUGGGCGAGAGCCUGAACCAGCCAAGUAGCGUGAAGGAUGACUGCCCUAUGGGUCGUAAACUUCUUUAUAAAGGAAUAAAGUCGGGUAUGGAUACCCAUUUGCAUGUACUUUAUGAAUAAGGAUCGGCUAACUCCGUGCCAGCAGCCGCGGUAAUACGGAGGAUCCGAGCGUUAUCCGGAUUUAUUGGGUUUAAAGGGAGCGUAGAUGGAUGUUUAAGUCAGUUGUGAAAGUUUGCGGCUCAACCGUAAAAUUGCAGUUGAUACUGGAUAUCUUGAGUGCAGUUGAGGCAGGCGGAAUUCGUGGUGUAGCGGUGAAAUGCUUAGAUAUCACGAAGAACUCCGAUUG
rnacentral:rRNA from 1 species